CGGCGCCCGGGGAGCGCCAAGAUGGCGGACGGCGACGGGCCGGGUGUUGCCGCCGCGGCCGCGGCCUCUCCUCAGGCACCCGCUCCCGGCCCGAGCCCGCCGCCGGGCUGGAGGGAGCGGCUGCGGGCCGGGCUGAUGGGGACGUGGGCCUCGCUGUGGUUCGUGGUGGGGCUGGGGCUGCUUUACGCUCUGAGGGUCCCGCUGAGGCUGUGUGAGAAUGUGGCCGCGGUGACAGUAUUUUUAAAUUCACUGACGUCCAAAUUCUAUGUGGCACUUACAGGGACAUGUUCUUUGAUAUCAGGACUAAUAUUUAUAUUUGAAUGGUGGUACUUCCAUAAACAUGGUACAUCUUUUAUUGAGCAAGUGUCGGUAAACCAUUUGCGACCAUUGAUGGGAGGAACAGAAAGAAGCAUGUCAGAGCCAGCUUCUCUUUCCAACAGCAGAGAAAGUGAAAACAGCAGACAGAAUGUGUCAGAAUGCAAGGUAUGGAGAAACCCUCUAAACCUUUUCAGAGGAGCAGAAUAUAGGAGACUCACUUGGGUGACUGGUAAAGAGCCACUUACAUACUAUGACAUGAAUUUGUCAGCUCAGGACCAUCAGACCUUUUUCACCUGUGACACAGACUUUUUACGUCCUUCAGACACAGUUAUGCAGAAGGCAUGGAGGGAAAGAAAUCCUUUAUCUCGAAUUAAAGCAGCCUACCAAGCUUUAGAAUUAAACAAUGACUGUGCCUCUGCAUAUAUUCUACUGGCUGAGGAAGAAGCAACAACUAUUGUUGAUGUUGAAAAGUUAUUUAAGCAGGCACUCAAGGCAGGAGAAACGAUUUAUAGGCGAUCGCAGCAGUGUCAGCACCAAAGUCCUCAGCAUGAAGCCCAACUGAGGAGAGAUACCAAUGUACUGGCUUAUAUUAAAAGAAGAUUGGCAAUGUGUGCAAGAAAAUUAGGAAGAAUAAGAGAAGCAGUAAAAAUAAUGAGAGAUUUGAUGAAAGAAUUUCCUCCUCUUACCAUGUGGAACAUCCAUGAAAAUCUCCUAGAAUCACUUUUAGAAUUACAGGCCUAUGCAGAUGUUCAGGCAGUCCUAGCAAAAUAUGAUGAUAUAAGCCUUCCAAAGUCAGCAGCAAUCUGUUAUACAGCAGCACUGUUGAAGACAAGGACUGUUUCAGAUAAAUUCUCUCCAGAAGCAGCCUCCAGACGAGGUUUAAGCACAGCGGAAAUUAAUGCUGUGGAAGCAAUUCAUAGAGCUGUGGAAUUUAAUCCUCAUGUUCCAAAAUACUUACUAGAGAUGAAAAGUCUAAUUUUACCUCCAGAACACAUUCAGAAACGGGGUGAUAGUGAAGCAGUUGCCUAUGCUUUCUUUCAUCUUCAGCACUGGAAGCGAAUAGAAGGUGCUCUUAAUCUGUUACAGUGUACAUGGGAAGGCACUUUUAGAAUGAUUCCAUAUCCAUUAGAGAAAGGCCAUCUAUUUCACCCUUAUCCCAGCUGCACAGAGACUGCUGAUAAGGAGCUAUUGCCUACCUUUCAUCAAGUAUCUGUUUACCCAAAGAAGGAGCUUCCUUUUUUCAUCUAUUUCACAGCAGGACUGUGUUCUUCUACAGCAAUGAUAGCUCUUCUCACACACCAGUUUCCUGAAAUCAUGGGUGUUUUUGCUAAAGCUGGGGACCAUGAACCAUCUGAGGCCCAUCCAUCGUUGAGAACCCCCACUCUGGCCUUUUAUUUGGACUCUGAAGGGGCAGAAAACCCAUGGGCGUGACCUGAGUCUAAGCAAUUUGUCAUGUGUUUUAAGCAGAUGGCUCCCGAAUGCAGAACACCAUGGAGAAGAGGGAUGAGAGCAGGAGCCGGGGGACAGCUCAUGGCCUUGACAUUAGAUCUGCUGAGAAGCCG